UGGAGAGAUCUCUCUGAGCUAGACUCUUCAGUGGAGGAAAUGUUACAACUCAUGGACAGUGGCAUUACCAUCUGCCUUAGGAACGGAGCAGCCUCUGUCUUCAAGAAAAAAGAAUGCAGCACACAAGGAGAAGAAAACAAGCAAGACAGGUUGUAGGCUCAUCAGCAAAGAAUGAGAGGAAUUUUUCCAUAUCUCUUCCAACAAAGAAGCCUAGGCAUUGUGUUCUGAAACCUGGAUUUCUUAACCUCUGGGAAGAAUGAAAUGGUCUUUAUUUAUAAAGGUCUAAAUCCCAAGUGGAAACUUAAAGGACUGAGCUUCUGGAUUUUAUUUGGCCUGAAAAAUGUUUUAAGAGAAUGUGAAUUAGAUGCUUGUGUUUAAAAAACAGAAGUUUUCAUAUAAAAACUGAAAUUUCCAGUACCUCUUUAAAAAUCAGAAGAUUUGGUAACAUUCAGCCUAACUUCCCUGUGACAACAGGCAGUUGGGGAUGAGCUGGAGCUCCAACUCAAGACAAGAAUGUUCUUUCCAGUUUGCCACAGUACCUAAGAUGCCUGAAUGUCUUCUAUGGUACCAACAUCCUUAAAGAAUAU
rnacentral:sRNA from 1 species